rnacentral:rRNA from 1 species
UACAGAGGUCUCAAGCGUUGUUCGGAUUUACUGGGCGUAAAGAGCGCGCAGGCGGUCGAAUAAGUCGAAUGUGAAAGCCCCCGGCUUAACUGGGGAGGGUCAUUCGAUACUGCUCGACUUGAAGGCAGGAGAGGGUAGUGGAAUUCCCGGUGUAGUGGUGAAAUGCGUAGAUAUCGGGAGGAACACCAGUGGCGAAGGCGACUACCUGGCCUGUUCUUGACGCUGAGGCGCGAAAGCUGGGGGAGCAAACGGG